rnacentral:rRNA from 1 species
GAUGAACGCUAGCUACAGGCUUAACACAUGCAAGUCGAGGGGCAGCAUGAACUUAGCUUGCUAAGUUUGAUGGCGACCGGCGCACGGGUGAGUAACACGUAUCCAACCUGCCGAUGACUCGGGGAUAGCCUUUCGAAAGAAAGAUUAAUACCCGAUGGCAUAGUUCUUCCGCAUGGUAGAACUAUUAAAGAAUUUCGGUCAUCGAUGGGGAUGCGUUCCAUUAGCUUGUUGGCGGGGUAACGGCCCACCAAGGCAUCGAUGGAUAGGGGUUCUGAGAGGAAGGUCCCCCACAUUGGAACUGAGACACGGUCCAA